AUUGGGCCGGGAACACCAACACUAAACGCCUCAAUAACCAGCCACUGUGGUUCCCCCGGCCCAGUCACGCAUGUGCCGCUGCCACAGCACUUCAGCUACCUUCCCCAGGGAGAGCAACAUUACUGCACUCAGGGUGCUGGAUAUCAAGAACCUCUGAAGAAGUUUACAGUGACCUGAGAUAGUGCCACUGCUCUCCGGCCUGGGUGACAGAUUCUGUCUCAAAAAAAAGGAACCUCCAAAGACAUUGGCCAGGAUCCUGGUUGCCAGCUCUGUACUGAUGGAUUGACUGAUGGAUUCAUUCAGUAAGCAUGGACUGAGUGCCUGUUAGAGUGUGCCGGUGAGUCUUACUUAGAUUUACUGCCUCCUUGACACCAUUUUUCAGAAAGAACUCUUUUGACUCUUUUGUUUGUUACCUCAAAAUGUUCUUCCUGUGCAGAGUUUCAAAUCAACCUGGAUUUGAAGGCUCAUGAGACUGAUCCUCAGCCUUUUCCUCAAUCCUUCCCUGCACAGCCUGCUGCCUCAGCACUCUCCCCAUCAGGCCAUUCACUCAAGUGCAUUACUUUCAACAUUUUCCCACUGAAGGUCCAGCCCUCUCCUCUAGCCAAAUUAUGGUGUGCUACUUAAAAUUAUUUAGAUUUCUAUUUUAAGUGAGUUUCGCAUAAGUAAAACCCAUUGUUAAUAUCAUUGGGAAGGGUUAUUUUUAAAUUAAGAGGUGUGCCAUACCCUGCCAAAUAUGAUAAUGUAUAUAGUAGCACCUCGCACAGUGCCUGGCGCAUUGUGGAUAGGCAGUAAAUAUGAGCUGAAUGAAUGAAUGGGCUGCACUUUCUGAUGGGAUGAGGCUCCCUGAGGAGAGAAGAGUGGUGGCCCCUGUGAAGAUGACCAAGCAGGCUAUUGAGAAGACAGUCCCUUCUGGAAUCGCACUUUCAUGAGUGCCUAGGACCAGCUUGGGGCCCCUCAAGCAUCUGAAUUUUUGGACCACUUGGUUUAUAUAACCCACUUGUUAUCCAGAUUCUGCCUCUUGACAGUUUUUUUUUCUCCAGGUCUCACUAUGUUACCCAGGCUGGUCUUGAGCUCCUGGGCUCAAGCAGUCCUCCUGCCUCAGCCUCCAGAGUAACUGGGACCACAGCUGGGCCUGGAGGCGCCGGCUGGAGGAACAGAGAGUGCUGCUUCAGCGACGGCCACGUGGGCCUGGAACUUGGACGAGCAGCGGGCACCAGGGAGACUUGCACCAUCGCCCACUUCCGGGCCACUGGAGGGAUAAAGCUGCCCCUCUUUGCACCCAGCGAAGAGAACCCUCCUUCCUCUAAGUAUUUUCUUCGGCAACCAAGCUUUUCUAUUUGCUAAAUUUCUUGUGCCCUGAGCGCUACCACCACGCCCCCCGUCUUCCCCUCCCCCCACAUCCGUUCACUCUCUUUGACCUUCUGCCAAAACUCUAUUUCUGAAUGCUCGCUGCCCUCCCUCCCAUUUCCUCACCGCGUUUCAGGCACUGUAAGUUCUUGGUGCUCAAACCCCCUACGGUUACGUAAACAGAACUCUGCCUUUAUCUUCUUUCCCUUUCUUCGGAGCUUUGUUUUCAAGUUCAUUAGGGACUUCCUGUGGGUGUAAUUACUGUUCUGCAGUUUUGCGAGCUGCCCACCUUCCCCCUGUUUUGUUAAAAAUGCCAUAGAUCUUCUGAGAUUUCUUUCAUUUGUAAAGUUAUUACCUGUCUGCCUGCACAUCAAUCUUGUUGAUUUUAUUUCAAGGCAUUUUCCGGAGUGAACUUCUGCAUAGCGAUUCUUUUGUCCCUUCCCACCCCCCCCCCUUUCUUUUGCAGGAAGAUGAAAUAGGAGAAAAGAAAAGGAUUAGAACUUUAGAACUCCAGGACACAACCUUAGUCCCUUCAAGCACUAUCUGCAGACAGAUGCUGCGCUGGCCUUAGCACCCUGUCUGGUGAAACCGCUUGCGGUGACAUCAGCCGAAUGCGUGAGAGGCUUCCGCGGAUGUCCUGACUUUUACACCAUGGAAGGGCUUUCUCCUCACUCUCCAUUCUUCAUCCCACUCCAUCCAUGCGCUUUCUCCCCUCCCCAUGGGUUAGGCGGUUUUUCCUCUAGCUGAGAGUGGAGGCCUUGGCCAAUUAAAUGUGUCUUCUGGGAUGUCACAGUUGGGCCACCUCUCACCUCUUGCUCAGGGUGGUGGCUUAAAUGAAACUCCUGUAGCAACUCACAGAGCAUUUGAUUAAAGCUAAGAUUGAUUGGAACUCACAGGUCAGAAUGGAACAAGAAUUUCCCUCGGGUUGUGUGGCCACUGCUAAGAAGCAAUUGCCUAAUUCCACACAGAGCUUGCUAAUUCUGUGGGCCUAACAGAGAACUCCAGAUGGGCAACUAGGAGCUGAGAACUGCACCCUAUGUGACUAGGAGCUAAUUUUCCCUGGAUCCUUAAAGAGGUUGCCUAUUUGACCCAUGUCAUCACAGGGUGAAAUGUAAGUCCUUUCUGAGCUCUUGGAAGCUGAGCCUAGUGACAUUCAGCCAUGGGAAAUACAUUUCCUUUAAACUGGUCACCAGGUCUUAGUGUGAUACAUUCCUUGACUGGACAGUGAUCUUUCGUGUUUAGUCACUACUCAGCCAGAUGCUUCCCUGAGAGGUGACGACUUCCCUAGGAGGAAAUAACACAGCCCAUUUUAGGCUGUGGGUGGGCCCUGUCCACUUUAACUUUGCACUCAGCCUCACUCAUUUCUAUGAACUGGGGUUUGGAUUACUCUGAUUUCCAUGACUCCUCUUGUGAAACAGUGAUACCGGGAUGA
rnacentral:lncRNA from 1 species